rnacentral:lncRNA from 1 species
AUCACAUGAAAUAAUACAAUAUGUUUUAAGAAACAUUUAUUUUUAAAUAGAUUCGACGCGCCCAUUCGACUCUCCACGCGCCUCCGAUAUCAAUCACCUGAAACUGUUGAAUAUGGGAUGAGCAUACAGGGUACACUCAGUGUGGGAACAUGCAAUAAUUGUCCAUGUUAAUAAAAUGGUAACACAUAUUGUCAUAACGUAACAUAACUUCCAUACGCACUGUGGCAACUCCAAGGACUUUAAUGUCCCGGACCCUAUAUAUGGAUCCCUGGCGACAAUAUAAUGGUUGCAACCCUGUAACGUGAAAUCGCAUUGUGGCAUACCAAGGACGGUGAAGUCCUGGACCAAUUAUGCUGGCCCCUAGCGAUAAAUAUUUUUACAACACAUACGGUAAACACAUAAUAUUAAAAUGGACAAAUAUUAACCACGUGCAUGUACUGAAAUAAAUCCCACACCUGGAAAUUUAACUUGAACUUGAACUUCAACUUGAAUGCUAACUUGAGUAAUACAAUUAAAAUUCAUAUCCUAGUCGCGCCGCACCUAGUCAGAUAAAUUCAAAUAAUAACAUAUAAGGGCCUAUUUGAACUUUAAAAUAAUUUAGAUUAUUGGAUCAUAUAAAAAUAAUAAAUUUAAGUAAUAAAAUAUAUUUUCUUAUAAAAAGAUUUGGGCUCAAAAUUUAGUUAAAAACUAAGUUUAAAUUAAUAAUUCAAGUCUAAAUAUAUUAUUAAAACAUCCUUUGAAAAAUAAUGCAAAUGCAAGACCAUGAAAAUUAAACUAUGAGCCCAAUUACUAAUUAAACUGAGCCCAACUAUCUUAAAUAAAUUGAGCCCAUUAGCCAGCCCAAGCCCAUUUCCCUUCCAUUCACCCUAAUUUAUAUUCACACCACACACAUACGCAGCGUAGCUCCCAUUUCCUCACUCUCUCUCUGCCGCUCUCUCCUCUCUUUCCUCUUCUCGGCCCUCUUCCUGCCGCCGCCACCGGACGGCAUCGCCGUCGCCGGAGUCGGCUGUCCUGGCUCCUCCCCCUCUUCUUUCUAUCUCCAUCUCACCCCACACUUCUCGCCCUCACUCUCCCUCUCUUCGUCGUCUCUCUCCAACGACCUCACCCCCGUGUCUACAGCCCCCCCUCUUUCCUUCGGCCGGUAGCAGCAGCCGCCAUCGUCGUUCCCACGUCGACAGCAGCGCCGCCUAGCCACCGCCUCCCUCAUCUCCUUCACCUCCUGGCCGACAGCAGCAGCGGGGCUGCCAUCGCCGCCUCCUGCUCCCUCUGUCUCGACCAGCAAGGCACGGCAGCGGUCGAGACCACAGCGCCGCCGCCCCUGUCUCCUUCCGCCGGCCGACGUGCAGCGCUGGCAAUACUGCUGCUCAACCGCCCCCUUGUUUCUAAGCCACCAUCCCUCUUCCACUUCUUCUAUCUCUAUUUCCCAUGUAAUAUAUAAGAUUUAUUCUAUUUUCUUUUUCAUGUAUUUAGCAAUAUAUAUAUAAAUUACAGAAAAAUAGAUGUAUGCAUGAUUGGAUUUUGAAAACAAAGUUUUUGAUGUUUAGCCUUGGUUUUGGCGAAAAUGCAGAAAAUUGUUGAUAUGCUUGAAAUGAAAUAACUUUUCAAAAGUUAUUAAAAUUACCAGCUUGAAUGAGUGAAGUAAAUCAGUUGCUGCGAAUUGGAAAUAUUUGAGUGAAUUUUUGUUGAUUUGUGAAUUUGAGAAUGAUACAUUGAUGUUUAAAUAGAUUGAAAUAUUUGACAUAGAACGUGUGAAAGUGUGAAAAGAGAUCAAUCAAACUUUGUUGCUUCAAAGUUUGCUGCUUCAAAAUUUGCUGCUGUGGAAAUCAAAUUUGGCUUGCUGUAUUUUCGAAAUAUUUCCAGAAAAUGAGAGAAGCUAAUUUUAUAAAAAAAGUGAGGCGGUGGAAAGGAUAAAAUGAAUUCCUUAUUGCACAAGAUUGACUAAAUAAAUUGGAUGGCUGAGGAGGAUCAAAUGAGAAAAUUGUGUAAAUGAGGCGGAAAAAAUACAUUCUAUGUAUCAUAAAAUUAUGGGCUUUUCAAUACUUUUACCCCAUGAAUACAAGUGAGGCCCAAACAAAUAGCCUACAAAAAUAUUUUAUACAAGGCCCAAAUUAUACUAAAAUGUUAAGAAUAAAAUUUAUAUUUAAUAAUAGCUAAUGUUUUAAAAUUAUGCAAAGUUACAUAAUAUAUUUGGCCCAACAUCAUAAAUCUGCUCCAAUAUAAAUAAGCUAUAAUUUAUUGAGGUCCAAAUUCAUAUAAAAAAAAUAUUUGGAAAAAUAAAGAAAAACUUGAUUAUUCCGAAAGUAUAGUUUUGCUUUGUAAAAUUUGCAGCGAUGAUGGUCAUAUUUAAAUAGGUAGUAAAUUACUUGUUCGUCAAAGAUUUGAAUGUGAAAGAAAUCAAAGUUUGCUGAUCAAAGUUUGCUGCUGGAAAUCAAAUUUGCUAUCAAAGUUUGCUUUUGAAUCUUCUGUUUGCUUUUGAAUUGAAGAUGUUGGGGAUUUUGGAAUUUGAGAGUAAAAUGAAUUGUGAGAGUUUAAAGAUUAUUAAAAAUUUCUCUGCACAAAAUAUGGGAUACAGUAGUGAACUGGAGAAGAAUGAAAAAUUUACAGAAAUAAUAAAAUUACCUUGUGCAGAGAAAAGAGCACAAAUAAUUUUAAAGCUUGCUGUGUUUUUGGCAUGUUUCGAAAAAUCAGAUGAUGAAGGCCGAUGUUUUAAAUAGGAAAGUUUGAUACUUGUUGUUUUAAAAAAAAUGAUGUGGCCAAAGAUGAGAGAUAGAAUUGUGGCUAAGGAAAAACUGAACCACGUAACAUCUCAUUUUAAUUAAAGAAAGACAUAUGGACUUAUAAUAAUAAUUGGGCUUUAAAGAUGAUAAAUGGGCUUUCAAAUAAUAAAAUUUUAACCCAAUUAUCAUAGAAAAAGAAUAAAAACUAUGGCCCAACAUAUUUAUUAAAAAUAUUUGAUAAUAUAAAUUUGUAUCUUUUUAUAAAUAUAUAAUCUAUAGUUCAAAGUCAUUUAUCUAAUUAGGGCGGUUAGAUAUCUGAUAAGAAUAAAAAUAGGAAUGGCUGGCUUGGAGACUUCUUUAAACAAAUGUAAAUAAAUAGAGUAGAAAUUGUUAAUUUGCAGAUACGAAAAUAAGGUAUCCAAAUCUUGAAAUCAUUAAUAAACUAUAAAUGUUGAAACUUGAAUAAUUGUUUUAGGAUCAUUGCAAAAGAAUUUGGCACAUUAAUAACAAUAAGCCCAACACUAACAAAAUUUAUGAAAAUAUUUUAUUCUUAAUCCAAAAUUAAUAUAAUGUCCAUGAUAAAUAUAUUUAAGUAAAUAAAUUUAUUUAGGCCCAAAUUUAUAUAAAAUAUUUUUGGAAUAUAAAACUUUAUUUCUAUAGGUAUAACCUAGAAUUUAGAGUCAUACAUCUAGUAGGGGCGCGACUAGAUAAUUCUUCCACAAACUCGACUCAUAGAUUUAUAUUUUUAAUAUCUCGAAAAUAUAAAAAUUUUCAAAUAAAAUUUGCAAAGGUAGUAAACGGUUUUGGGCUGUGACAAACCUACCCACUUAAAAGAAUUUCGUCCUCGAAAUUUGACAAUUCAUAGUUGCAAUAAUCUUCAACAUAAUAACUUGAAUACUGAACUUGAACAUUUUCUCAUAAUAACUUCAAUCAUUGCAGCAAAUUCACUAUACUUUCAACGUAAAUAAUUUAUACGCAUCCUCUUGAAAAAUAUUUGAAAUAUCUUUACUCAUAGCUGCAAUAAUCUUCAACAUAAUAUCUUGAAUACUGAACUUUCUCAUAAUAACUUGCAUAAUGAACUUGAACUUUCUGAUAAUAACUUCAAUUAUUGCAGCAAAUUUCAACAUACUUUCAACGUAAACAAUUUAUACUCAUCCCUAUAAAAAUAUUUUGAAAUACUUUUAAAAUACAUUUACCUUGAAGUCGGAGCACGUAGAGGUCGAAUGGAUUUUCUCACACAUGACAUUUAAGAAUUUUAUGUAAAAUAUUUUGCAGAGUCUACAGGAAAGUAGACCUGCUCUGAUACCAUGCUGUAACACCCUAAUCUAAUUAAGAAGUUAAAUAUAAAAUUUAAAUAAAUAUUUAAUGCGGAAGUCUUUUAAAAUAAUUUAAAACUCACUUUUAAAAUAAAUAUUUUCGAAAAUAAUUUUAAGAAAAAGAAAUCUUUAAAUAAAAUUGGUUUUUAAAGCACUUUUAAAACGAUUUAUAAG